UACGUAGGGUGCGAGCGUUGUCCGGAUUUACUGGGCGUAAAGGGCGCGUAGGCGGUCGUGACAAGUCACUUGUGAAAUCUCCGGGCUUAACUCGGAACGGUCAAGUGAUACUGUCGGACUAGAGUACAGAAGGGGCAACUGGAAUUCUCGGUGUAGCGGUGAAAUGCGUAGAUAUCGAGAGGAACACCUGCGGCGAAGGCGGGUUGCUGGGCUGAUACUGACGCUGAGGCGCGAAAGCCCAGGGGAGCGAACGGG
rnacentral:rRNA from 1 species